GACGAACGCUGGCGGCGUGCUUAACACAUGCAAGUCGAACGGAAAGGCCCUGCUUUUGUGGGGUGCUCGAGUGGCGAACGGGUGAGUAACACGUGAGUAACCUGCCCUUGACUUUGGGAUAACUUCAGGAAACUGGGGCUAAUACCGGAUAGGAGCUCCUGCUGCAUGGUGGGGGUUGGAAAGUUUCGGCGGUUGGGGAUGGACUCGCGGCUUAUCAGCUUGUUGGUGGGGUAGUGGCUUACCAAGGCUUUGACGGGUAGCCGGCCUGAGAGGGUGACCGGCCACAUUGGGACGGAGAUACGGCCCAGCCUCCUACGGGAGGCAGCGGUGGGGAAUAUUGCACAAUGGGCGGAAGCCUGAUGCAGCAACGCCGCGUGCGGGAUGACGGCCUUCGGGUUGUAACCCGCUUUCGCCUGUGACGAAGCGUGAGUGACGGUAAUGGGUAAAGAAGCACCGGCUAACUACGUG
rnacentral:rRNA from 1 species